rnacentral:lncRNA from 1 species
AAAGAACAUGUGCUAAACAUCAUGUCGGGAAGCUUAGCGCAUUAAGAGGAACAGCGUGCUGGCUACGGACAAAUGGAAAUAGUUUGCAAUUCGUUAUAGGGAAUGGGGAGGGCCAUCCGGAAACGCAUCAGUUUAGAGCUUUCACAUCUUCUUGUCACUAUCCUGUGGAUCAGAUAUGGUAUACAUCACAGCAUAGCACCCUGUUAAUAUAUACCGACCUGCCCUUCCCCAUUCGCAUUUAUGAAGCUGGGCAGAGAAGGAAGCGAAGGACUGGCAAGUCCCACUGCAUCACACUUCCUCUUAAAGGAACAGAGGAAGAAGUUUGGAUUACAGUAUAAAAGUCAGGUAUGGAAGUACAGGGGGAAGAAAGGAGGAAGGGAGGCCUGACAGGUGAGUUUUCUGCUGCCCUUUAAAAGUUGGAAGUGCACACGCACGCACACGCACCGCUUCCCACAUGCCCUUCUCCCUGGUGCCCUUUGCCCUUCCUUCCUCGGAUUCCUCGGCAGCUUGUGUGUCUUCCCUUGUCCUUCCAUCAGCACUUGGAGGGAAAGGUGACUGUUCCUGAUACGGGACAUUAGGUGUUUGUUUAAUAGAGAAAAAAGGCUCCACCCUGACUUCCAGGUGUCAUUGAAACAUGCUGACUGGAAGAAGGGGUCCAAAUGGCUCCUUUUACUUCAAAGUGAAGUUCCAGAUGUUGACACAGACUUUGACUUGCACAGAAGAGUGUUCUGGGAUUUGGUGAGUCUCCUUCCAUACAGCCCCGAAUCACCUCAUAUUGCCAUCUCCCCAAUUGAUUUUCAUGUCUGGCUCAGCCAAGAAACCAGAUGUCAGUUGCAAUGACAUCAUGUUCUCAAAACAUUAAAGGAGUCAAACCCUUUGUCUUGGAUCAC